GAAGCUGGCCAGACAGUCGCCGCUCACGCAAGUGAGGGGAGGAAAGUCCGGGCUCCGCAGAGCAGGAUGACGGCUAACGGCCGUACGCCGUGAGGCGAACGGGUGAAACGCGGUAACCUCCAUCCGGAGCAAAGCCAAAUAGGGUAGCGAUAGCGUGGCUCGCGCUGCUACCGGGUAGGCUGCUUGAGCGCACGAGUAAUUGUGCGCCUAGAUGAAUGACUGUCGCCCGCCGCAAGGUGGGAACAGAACCCGGCUUAUCGGCCAGCUUCACUU
rnacentral:RNase_P_RNA from 1 species